UACGUAGGGGGGGCAAGCGUUUGUCCGGAAUUUAUUUGGGCGUAAAGAGCGCGUAGGCGGUCCGGUAAGUCGGCUUGUGAAAGUCAAGGGCUCAACCCUUUGAAAGCCGGCCGAUACUGUCGGACUAGAGUCCGGAAGAGGCGAGUGGAAUUUCCCGGUGUAGCGGUGAAAUGCGCAGAUAUCGGGAGGAACACCAAUGGCGAAGGCAGCUCGCUGGGACGGUACUGACGCUGAGGCGCGAAAGCGUGGGGGAGCAAACAGGAUUUAGAACGACCU
rnacentral:rRNA from 1 species